rnacentral:rRNA from 1 species
AGCAGCCGCGGUAAUUCCAGCUCCAAUAGCGUAUAUUAAAGUUGUUGCAGUUAAAAAGCUCGUAGUUGAAUUUCGGGGUCAGUAGAUUGGUCGUGCCACUGGUAUGCACUGGUCUUACUGGCUCCUCCUUCCUGAUGAACCGUAAUGCCAUUAAUUUGGUGUUGCAGGGAAUCAGGACUGUUACUUUAGAAAAAAUUAGAGUGUUUAAAGCAGGCUCGCGCUUGAAUACAUUAGCAUGGAAUAAUGAAAUAGGACGUUUGAUCCUAUUUUGUUGGUUUCUAGGAUUGACGUAAUGAUUAGUAGGGAUAGGUUGGGGGCAUUAGUAUUCAAUUGUCAGAGGUGAAAUUCUUGGAUUUAUUGAAGACUAACUACUGACGAAAGCAUUUGCCAAGGAUGUUUUCAUUAAUCAAGAACGAAAGUUAGGGGAUCGAAGACGAUCAGAUACCGUCGUAGUCUUAACCAUAAACUAUGCCGACUAGGGAUCGGAUGAUGUUUUAAUUUUUUAUGUACU